UACGGAGGAUGCAAGCGUUAUCCGGAUUUAUUGGGUUUAAAGGGUGCGCAGGUUGUUUGAUAAGUCAGUGGUGAAAGUCUGUCGCUUAACGGUAGGAUUGCCAUUGAUACUGUUGGACUUGAAUAUUGAUGAGGUAGGCGGAAUGUGUAGUGUAGCGGUGAAAUGCAUAGAUAUUACACAGAACACCGAUUGCGAAGGCAGCUUACUAAUCCAUCAUUGACGCUGAGGCACGAAAGCGUUGGGAGCAAACA
rnacentral:rRNA from 1 species